UGCGAGUCGAGAGGGUUCGGCCCUCGGCGAACUGCUCAGUAACACGUGGAUAAUUUGCCCUUAGGUGGAGGAUAACCUCGGGAAACUGAGAAUAAUACUCCAUAGGUCUAGGAUGCUGGAAUGCACUUAGAUCGAAAGUUCCGGCGCCUAAGGAUAAGUCUGCGGACUAUCAGGUUGUAGUCAGGGUAAAGUCCUGACUAGCCUACAACGGAUACGGGUUGUGAGAGCAAUAACCCGGAGACGAUAUCUGAGACACGAUAUCGGGCCCUACGGGGCGCAGCAGGCGCGAAACCUUCACAAUGUGCGAAAGCGCGAUGAGGGGAUCCCAAGUGCUUGCUCGUAAGAGUAAGCUGUUUUUAUGUCUAAAAAGCAUAGAGAGUAAGGGCUGGGUAAGACGGGUGCCAGCCGCCGCGGUAAUACCUGCAGCUCAAGUGGUGACCGCUAUUAUUGGGCCUAAAACGUUCGUAGCCGGUUUGAUAAAUGCCUGGGUAAAUAGUGUAGCUUAACUAUACGAAUUCCGGGUAGACUGUUAAACUUGAGACCGGGAGAGGCUAGAGGUACUCCUGGGGUAGAGGUGAAAUUCUGUAAUCCUGAGGGGACCACCAGUGGCGAAGGCGUCUAGCUAGAACGGGUCUGACGGUGAGGAACGAAGCCCUGGGGCGCGAACCGGAUUAGAUACCCGGGUAGUCCAGGGUGUAAACGCUGCUUGCUUGAUGUUAG
rnacentral:rRNA from 1 species